UCCAGACUCCUACGGGAGGCAGCAGUGGGGGAUAUUGCACAAUGGGGGAAACCCUGAUGCAGCGACGCCGCGUGGGCGAAGAAGUAUUUCGGUAUGUAAAGCCCUAUCAGCAGGGAAGAAGAAAUGACGGUACCUGAGUAAGAAGCACCGGCUAAAUACGUGCCAGCAGCCGCGGUAAUACGUAUGGUGCAAGCGUUAUCCGGAUUUACUGGGUGUAAAGGGAGCGUAGACGGCAGAGCAAGUCUGAAGUGAAAGCCCGCGGCCCAACUGCGGGACUGCUUUGGAGACUGCCCGGCUAGAGUGCUGGAGAGGUAAGCGGAAUUCCUAGUGUAGCGGUGAAAUGCGUAGAUAUUAGGAGGAACACCAGUGGCGAAGGCGGCUUACUGGACAGUAACUGACGUUGAGGCUCGAAAGCGUGGGGAGCAAACAGGAUUAGAUACCCGCGUAC
rnacentral:rRNA from 1 species